rnacentral:rRNA from 1 species
UACGGAGGGUGCAAGCGUUGUUCGGAAUUACUGGGCGUAAAGCGCGCGUAGGCGGCUAUUUAAGUCAGAUGUGAAAGUCCACGGCUCAACCGUGGAAGUGCAUUUGAAACUGGAUAGCUUGAGUACUGGAGGGGGUGGUGGAAUUCCCGGUGUAGAGGUGAAAUUCGUAGAUAUCGGGAGGAAUACCGGUGGCGAAGGCGACCACCUGGCCAGAUACUGACGCUGAGGUGCGAAAGCGUGGGGAGCAAACAGG